CGCGCGGCGCUCGCGCCCGUGCCCGCACAACCUAGCCUGCUGGACGAGGGGCGGGGCGAGCGAGCCGCGGCGCUUCCGCUUUACACGCCCCAGCCGGCGACCGGUUCGAUCUGGCUCGGGCCACUCUGACACCUUUAGUUUCCGCUAGGGAAACUGGGGCGGCCGAGGGGAGGCGGGGGCCUGAAGCUUUCGGAAAACAAUGGGGGAGGGGGCAGAGGAUACCCUUCGAAGCCCCCACCCAGAUUUCGAUAUUGGAAUCAUUUUCUUUCUUCCCCGGGCCAGCCUCUGCUCUGUCCCCUCAGCUCAACUCAAGGUAGCCAGUGUGGCGACUGGAGAGGUCGGGGAACACGCUUUGUUUCAGAAGCGUUCACAGGAGUCCCCUGACACCUCCUACCCGGAAGAUAGCUAACGGGGGUCCUGCCAACCCUUCCCAUCCAAAUUCCAUCUGAAAAGGAUUUUCCACUAAAGUUGGGUCCCGGGCCAUCCGGCACCUGUAAGGCCGGCAGGAGCGUCUGCCCUCAACUCAGCUAAAGCCUGAAGUCGUUUCCUUUCGAUGGUCCUUAGCAGGCCCAAAAGAGGGGCGAUAGAACGUGAUGUGACACGGGCCGGGCGCCCCCAGAAGCCCGGGAACAAACGUCUCAGCUGAAAUGAAACCUCCUCAGAAAAAUUUGUUCCUGGCAAACUAUAACUCAAAAGAAAAAUAAAAAAUUUCUAAGACCUUUGUUACUGUC